rnacentral:rRNA from 1 species
CAUUAGUGAAUUAAACAUGCUUGGUGUCUUCGCUUCGGCAAGACCCUUGCUUAAAUCACAUCCUAACACCUGUGAACUGUAAGGCGUAUGAUAAAGCUUCGGCUGCAUCGUCGUCUGCCCUUUUUAACAAACAAUUAAUGUAACAAACGUAGUCUUAUUAUAACCUAAUAAAACUUUCAACAACGGAUCUCUUGGCUCUCGCAUCGAUGAAGAACGCAGCGAAAUGCGAUAAGUAAUGUGAAUUGCAGAUUUCAGUGAACCAUCGAAUCUUUGAACGCACCUUGCGCUCUUUGGUAUUCCGAAGAGCAUGCCUGUUUGAGUGUCAUGAAAAUAUCAACCUUGACUUGGGUUUUGUGCUCGAGUCUUGGCUUGGAUGUGGGUGCUUGCCGCUUUAACGAGCGGCUCACCUUAAAUGUAUUAGCUGGAUCUGUCUUUGAGACUUGGUUUGACUUGGCGUAAUAAGUAUUUCGCUAAGGACAUUCUUCGGAAUGGCCUCGUUUCUGGGACGCUUGUCCGCUUUCCAAUACAAGUUCCAUUCGUGGACAUGACUUUUUAUUAUCUGGCCUCAAAUCAGGUAGGACUACCCGCUGAACUU